rnacentral:rRNA from 1 species
UGAACGCUGGCGGCAGGCCUAACACAUGCAAGUCGAGCGGUAACAGAUCUAGCUUGCUAGAUGCUGACGAGCGGCGGACGGGUGAGUAACGCGUAGGAAUCUACCCAGUAGCGGGGGAUAAGCCAGAGAAAUUUGGUCUAAUACCGCAUACGCCCUUCGGGGGAAAGUAGGGGAUCUUCGGACCUUACACUAUUGGAUGAGCCUGCGUGAGAUUAGCUAGUUGGUGAGGUAAUGGCUCACCAAGGCGACGAUCUCUAGCUGUUCUGAGAGGAUGAUCAGCCACACUGGAACUGAGACACGGUCCAGACUCCUACGGGAGGCAGCAGUGGGGAAUAUUGCACAAUGGGCGCAAGCCUGAUGCAGCCAUGCCGCGUGUGUGAAGAAGGCCCUAGGGUUGUAAAGCACUUUCAGUCGUGAGGAAAGGUUAGUAGUUAAUAACUGCUAGCUGUGACGUUAGCGACAAAAGAAGGACCGGCUAACUCC